GUGACCUAGCGGUGACCAAACACGGUGGCCAAAGCCGCAAAGGGAGAGCGGCAGUGGUGUGGUCAGGUCUGGGAGGAAGGGGUGUGUGGCCGCUUCUAGCCUGAAGAAUCCCGAGCUUGCUUACGCCCCUCGCCGGCCUCCGCAGCACUUCGCCUGUCCCUAAGAGGAAGCAUCAGAGAAGAAAGAAUGGCUGUGAGCCACCUGCCAACCGUGGUCCAGUUGCUGCAACUAUGACCAUGCUGAAGAUGCUGAGAAGACGAGGGAGAUGUAGAACUGUUCCAUACUGUGGAGGUAACAGUCCAAAGGUGGAGACUGAGCGUAAACCAAAGAUCGCAGUGAAGUGGGUCAGAGCUUCAGCGGGCCCACAUCGACGGGUGCAGGAGCAGCCAGGGAAGGCUGUGCUGAGGUAGUGUCUGAGCAGAGACUGGACUAGGGUUUGGCCAUGUCGGGGAAGAGCAGAGGCAGGGCUGGGAAGAAUUCUGGAGAUGGAGAAAAUGAACAGCCCUCCGUGGUCCCAGUGCCGAGGAUGCACGUCUUCACCACGGCCUAUGUCUAUCUCUUCAAAGUGGG
rnacentral:lncRNA from 1 species